rnacentral:lncRNA from 1 species
CUUUUCCUGUACAUGUUGCCGUUUUCAAAUCGAUUCUAUCUCUUAUACUUUUUGAGAAAAAUGCAAAGGAAAGAAAUUGUUUCAAGGGGAUAUAACUCUCAUAGGGGACGAUGAAAUCCUAUUCAGCCUCACAUGGUAAUACAUCAUGAUGAGAUCUACAUUUUGUCCAAUUAAGGUCAUGAUAUCUUUAAAACUAACGAGGGGGGCC